GACAGAGGGUGCAAACGUUGUUCGGAAUUACUGGGCGUAAAGCGCGCGUAGGCGGCUUUGCAAGUCGGGUGUGAAAUCCCCAGGCUCAACCUGGGAACUGCAUUCGAGACUGCAUUGCUAGAGUAUGGGAGAGGGAAGUGGAAUUUCCGGUGUAGCGGUGAAAUGCGUAGAUAUCGGAAGGAACAUCAGUGGCGAAAGCGACUUCCUGGACCAAUACUGACGCUCAUGUGCGAAAGCGUGGGGAGCAAACAGG
rnacentral:rRNA from 1 species